UUGAAAGAGAAGAGAUCGGCGUCUUCAGCAGCACAGAAGGGAUUGCUGAUGUUAUUGGCCAUGGCAAGAGUCAAUGAAAGAAGGAAUCCUCAGGGAUGGAGCGAGCAGUACCACUCUUCCUCUCCGACCCUCCAUUCCUUUCAAAAGAAGAGAAAUCUUACCACAAGGAUGUGGGAAAAGUUCUUAAAGCUUCAAUGGUUCGAUUUCGGCCAGCAUCGUUGACUGCUGCCAACGUUGUGUGAAGGCACGGCAUCUCUUUGAGCGGAGGAACGGUGGAGCUUGCAGCAGAUGGGGCAACAGCAGUCGUGAAACGCUCACACACCGGGGACUCGACAAUCACUCUCAAAUGAAGUUGUGCAACCAGGAAACAGAAAAGGGAUUUCUUGGUUGUGGUUAAGGCUAAUAUCUUCCCUGUUUUUCGAAUGGAUUUAGUUAGAAAUACAGAUAGCUUAGUUAAGCAUUGAUCCAACUGAAAAUUAAAGAACAAAGUUCUGACUUGCAACUAUUCAUUUUUCAGGUUUCACAAGACUUGUUUAAUGUAUUUUUCAUGCAUAAAAAAAAAAAAAUCCACCAGCACCUACCAGUCCGCUCGCCGGACCUCAAUAUCCCUCCCAGCAGGUGGUGUGUCCACAUGGAAGCGGUUUCCUGUAUUUUCUUCAGACUGAAACCAUGUGCGUGCUGGCAAGAUAUCUCCUCCAUCCUGACUCAUGAAAGAUGGACACAUUUUAAGCAGGGAGAAUAUAUUGAUUUCUUCUUACCGAAUGAUGCUGUUUUCCUAUGUAGUCACAGCCAUCAUGACUGAAAGAACAAGAACCAAGAAGGGGAGCGUGGAGUAGAGUUACUCCUCCUCUGCAUCCCAUCAGGAUGUGUCCAGGAGGCCCCCAUCUGAGCGUUUCCUAAGCAUAUUCCACUGGGAGACGGCAAGGCAAUUUCAUUUGUUUAGCACAUUUACAUGAUUAGAAGAAAAUAAGCAAAAAAGCAUUACAUUACACUGACAAAGUAAGGUAAAAUGUAGACUUAAAAAAGUCUACAUUUCAUGAAUUCCCAGUUGUUACUAAUCAAAAACUGUUCUAAAAACAGUGAGGUUUUAGCCUUGAUUUAAAAGAAAUCAGUAGUUCAUAAAAUAUGGAAGUUUGUUACAAAAAAAGAGAAGCAUAAAACUGAAUGAUUCUCUAAAAAGUGAAAUGUACUGACCGUCGAACUUGGCUUAAAAAAUUUUAACUAAUGCAUUUGCAUGAAUUAAGCAUGAACUAUAUAAUAUCCUAGCAAAAUUGCCUCAAAACAGUCUUUUGAAACUGCAACAUUAAACAUGUGGAUACUGUCAUAAUGAUUGAUGUAUUUUGAUAUUUUGUGCAACUUUGGUUUAGUUUCAUGGCAUUAGUGUCAGCCUGUGCUUUUACCUUCAAUGCAAUUAACACAGUAGUUCACCGAGACCUUAGCAGGUUCUGCAAUAUUUGGUUUUGUGUAAUGUUUCAACAAAAAUAAUGUCCAGUAAAACAUGUCAUAGAAAUUGAUAGGAAAAGUAAAUAUUGCUAUUGUUUUCUUGUCAUUAAAAUAUUCUUGAAACAGUGCAGGUUUUUUUUUUUUUUACAUUUCAAAUCAAAACAAGUUAAUUCAGUCAGUAAUGUGUGGAAAAGUUUUAGCUUUAGCUUUUCACCUAACAGGAGUCAAGUCUUAAACUAGAUUCCUUGGUAAAUAAUACAAACAAUGUCAACAUACUGUAAAACUGCAGGUAUUUUUUUAGAAUGCAGCCUGGA